rnacentral:rRNA from 1 species
AGUGAACGCUGGCGGCGUGCUUAACACAUGCAAGUCGAACGAGAACGGGAUAUAGCUUGCUAUAUUUGUCAGCUAAGUGGCGCACGGGUGAGUAAUGUAUAGAUAACCUGCCCUCUAGAAAGGAAUAACAGUUGGAAACGACUGCUAAUGCCCUAUAUGCCUUUAAUACAUAAGUAUGCAAGGGAAACGCUUUAGUGCUAGAGGAUGGGCCUGUAUGGUAUCAGCUUGUUGGUGAGGUAAUGGCUCACCAAGGCUAUGACGCCUAACUGGUUUGAGAGGAUGAUCAGUCACACAGGAACUGAGACACGGUCCAGGCACCUACGGGAGGCAGCAGUGGGGAAUAUUGCACAAUGGACGAAAGUCUGAUGCAGCAACGCCGCGUGGAGGAUGACACAUUUCGGUGCGUAAACUCCUUUUAUAUAGGAAGAUAAUGACGGUACUAUAUGAAUAAGCACCGGCUAACUCCGUGCCAGCCGCCGCCGUAAUAC